rnacentral:rRNA from 1 species
AUUGAACGCUGGCGGAAUGCUUUACACAUGCAAGUCGAACGGCAGCACGGACUUCGGUCUGGUGGCGAGUGGCGAACGGGUGAGUAAUACAUCGGAACGUGCCCAAUCGUGGGGGAUAACGUAGCGAAAGCUACGCUAAUACCGCAUACGAUCUCAGGAUGAAAGCGGGGGAUCGCAAGAACCCGAGCGAUUGGAGCGAUCGAUGGAAGAUUAGGUAGUUGGUAGGGUAAAGGCCUGCCAAGCCGACGAUCUGUAGCUGGUCUGAGAGGAUGAUCAGCCACACUGGGACUGAGACACGGCCCAGACUCCUACGGGAGGCAGCAGUGGGGAAUUUUGGACAAUGGACGCAAGUCUGAUCCAGCCAUUCCGCGUGCAGGAUGAAGGCCCUCGGGUUGUAAACUGCUUUUGUACAGAACGAAAAGGCCCUGGUUAAUACCUAGGGCUCAUGACGGUACUGUAAGAAUAAGCACCGGCUAACUACGUGCCAGCCGCCGCGGUAACAC